rnacentral:lncRNA from 1 species
UAAAGAUCAUACCACCACCUAGGAUGAGGAUAUCAACCUUGGCCAGCAGAGACUCGAUCACACCAAUCUUAGAUGAGACCUUGGAUCCACCAACAAUGGCAGCAAAUGGCUUCUUUGGGUUGGCAACGGCUCCAACAAGAUAGUCAAGUUCCUGGGAAAAUUGAAGUAAUUAGAUAUCAUGUUAGUUUGCUCAAAAAUAUUACUUGUUGCAAUGCUUUUUGGAAAAUCUACGUACGAAUCUAAUAUCUCGCCCAAAGGUUGCAAAAUGUAAAGAUAACAAAGGAUCGAUUUACUGAUAUGCAAUCCCAUAUGUACCAAAGGAUACUUUUUCUUUCAAUGUAGUUAAGAUUUCAAGUAAAUAAUGUGCAGCAAUGAGAUUCAUUUCAGCUACUAUACCUUCUGCAUGAGGAAGCCAGCAACAGAAGGCCUCAAAAACUUGGUUACACCCUCGGUUGAAGCAUGCGCCCUAUGUGCAGUGCCGAAGGCAUCAUUUACAUAAAGGUCAGCAACUGAUGCAAGCUUCUUAGCAAACUCAGGUUCGUUCUUCUCUUCCUCCUUGUAGAAUCUAACAUUCUCUAGAAGUAGAACACCACCAUCUGGCAAAGCAGCAGCCAAUUUCUCAACUUCUUGACCAAUGCAGUCAGGGGCCAUCACAACCUAUUGACACACAUGAAACAAUGUACAAACAUAAAUGCUGUUAAUCCAGUUCAAAAAGACAACGGAGUUGCAAGAUGCUAUCAUCCCAUAAC